rnacentral:rRNA from 1 species
UACGAAGGGGGCUAGCGUUGCUCGGAAUGACUGGGCGUAAAGGGCGCGUAGGCGGCGAGUUUAGUCAGGCGUGAAAUUCCUGGGCUCAACCUGGGGACUGCGCUUGAUACGGGCUGUGCUUGAGGAUGGAAGAGGCUCGCGGAAUUCCCAGUGUAGAGGUGAAAAUUCGUAGAUAUUGGGGAAGAACACCGGUGGCGAAGGCGGGCGAGC